UACGUAGGGCGCAAGCGUUAUCCGGAAUUAUUGGGCGUAAAGAGCUCGUAGGCGGUGUGUCACGUCGGCCGUGAAAACCUGCAGCUUAACUGUGGGCGUGCGGUCGAUACGGGCAUCACUGGAGUUCGGCAGGGGAGACUGGAAUUCCUGGUGUAGCGGUGAAAUGCGCAGAUAUCAGGAGGAACACCGGUGGCGAAGGCGGGGUCUCUGGGCCGAUACUGACGCUGGAGGAGCGAAAGCGUGGGGAGCAAACAGG
rnacentral:rRNA from 1 species